rnacentral:tRNA from 1 species
GGGGAUGUAGUUCAGUGGUACAGUGCUUGCCGAGCAGCAUGAGGCCCUGGGUUCAAUUCCCAGCACCACCA